rnacentral:rRNA from 1 species
GGUUGACCUCGGAUCAGGUAGGAAUACCCGCUGAACUUAAGCAUAUCAAUAAGCCGGAGAAA